rnacentral:tRNA from 1 species
GCCCGGGUGGCGGAAUGGUAGACGCAGGGGACUUAAAAUCCCCUGGGGCUUUGCUCCAUGAGGGUUCAAUUCCCUCCCCGGGCACCA